AAGCAAAUUACUUGUCCCUCCCCCUGCUGAGACUAAGUGUUUCCUACAAUCUCUGUCUGACUCAUUUCCGUAGUAAGACAGGGACUCUUGGUCUCAAACAU
rnacentral:snoRNA from 1 species